GACGAACGCUGGCGGCGUGCUUAACACAUGCAAGUCGAACGGAAAGCCCCUUCGGGGGGACUCGAGUGGCGAACGGGUGAGUAACACGUGGGUGAUCUGCCCUGCACUUUGGGAUAAGCCUGGGAAACUGGGUCUAAUACCGGAUAGGACUACGAAUCGCAUGGUUUGUGGUGGAAAGCUUUUGCGGUGUGGGAUGGGCCCGCGGCCUAUCAGCUUGUUGGUGGGGUGAUGGCCUACCAAGGCGACGACGGGUAGCCGGCCUGAGAGGGUGUCCGGCCACACUGGGACUGAGAUACGGCCCAGACUCCUACGGGAGGCAGCAGUGGGGAAUAUUGCACAAUGGGCGCAAGCCUGAUGCAGCGACGCCGCGUGAGGGAUGACGGCCUUCGGGUUGUAAACCUCUUUCAGUAUCGACGAAGCGCAAGUGACGGUAGGUACAGAAGAAGCACCGGCCAACUACGUGCCAGCAGCCGCGGUAAUACGUAGGGUGCGAGCGUUGUCCGGAAUUACUGGGCGUAAAGAGCUCGUAGGUGGUUUGUCGCGUUGUCCGUGAAAACUCACAGCUCAACUGUGGGCGUGCGGGCGAUACGGGCAGACUGGAGUACUGCAGGGGAGACUGGAAUUCCUGGUGUAGCGGUGGAAUGCGCAGAUAUCAGGAGGAACACCGGUGGCGAAGGCGGGUCUCUGGGCAGUAACUGACGCUGAGGAGCGAAAGCGUGGGGAGCGAACAGGAUUAGAUACCCUGGUAGUCCACGCCGUAAACGGUGGGUACUAGGUGUGGGUUUCCUUCCUUGGGAUCCGUGCNGUAGCUNACGCANUAAGCGCCCCGCCNGGGGAGUACGGCCGCANGGCUGU
rnacentral:rRNA from 1 species